AUUGAACGCUGGCGGCAUGCCUUACACAUGCAAGUCGAACGCGAAAGCGGGGGCAACCCUGUGAGUAGAGUGGCGAACGGGUGAGUAAUGCAUCGGAACGUAUCCCGUCGUGGGGGAUAACGAGUCGACAGAUUCGCUAAUACCGCAUACGACCUGAGGGUGAAAGCGGGGGACCGGCAACGGCCUCGCGCGAGGGGAGCGGCCGAUGUCCGAUUAGCCAGUUGGCUGGGUAAGAGGCCACCAAGGCGAGGAUCGGUAGCUGGUCUGGGAGGGCGGCCAGCCACACUGGAACUGAGACACGGUCCGGGCUCCUACGGGAGGCAGCAGUGGGGAAUUUUGGACAAUGGGGGCAACCCUGAUCCAGCCAUGCCGCGUGAGUGAAGAAGGCCUUCGGGUUGUAAAGCCCUUUUGGCGGGAACGAAAUCGCGUUCGUGAACAACGGGCGUGGAUGACGGUACUCGCAGAAUAAGCACCGGCUAACUACGUGCCAGCCGCCGCCGUAAAAC
rnacentral:rRNA from 1 species